AGGUGCAGCAAGGUGCUCAA
rnacentral:snRNA from 1 species